rnacentral:rRNA from 1 species
AUUGAACGCUGGCGGCAGGCCUAACACAUGCAAGUCGAACGAGUGGCGGAGGGGUGUGUAAUGUCUGGGAAUCUGUCUGGUGGAGGGGGAUCAAUACUGGAAACGGUCUCUUAUACCGCAUUCCAUCAGAUGUGCCCAGAUGGGUUUAGCUUGUUGGUGGGGUAACGGCUCACCAAGGAGACGAUCCCUAGCUGGUCUGAGAGGAUGACCAGCCACACUGGAACGGAGACACGGUCCAGACGCCGACGGGAGGCAGCAGUGGGGAAUAUUGCACAAUGGGCGAAAGCCUGAUACAGCCAUGCCGCGUGUGUGAAGAAGGUCUUCGGAUUGUAAAGCACUUUAAGAGGGGAGGCGUUACCAACAGAAGAAGCACCGGCUAACUUCGUGCCAGCAGCCGCGGUAAUUC